UCGGGAAUUUUGGGCAAUGGGCGAAAGCCUGACCCAGCAACGCCGCGUGAAGGAUGAAGUAUUUCGGUAUGUAAACUUCGUAAGAAUAGGAAGAAUAAAUGACGGUACUAUUUGUAAGGUCCGGCUAACUACGUGCCAGCAGCCGCGGUAAUACGUAGGGACCAAGCGUUGUUCGGAUUUACUGGGCGUAAAGGGCGCGUAGGCGGUUUGUCAAGUCAGUUGUGAAAUCUCCGAGCUUAACUCGGAACGGUCAACUGAUACUGUCAAACUAGAGUACAGAAGGGGCAAUCGGAAUUCUUGGUGUAGCGGUGAAAUGCGUAGAUAUCGGGAGGAACACCUGUGGCGAAGGCGGCCACCUGGUUGGAUACUGACGCUGAGACGCGAAAGCGUGGGGAGCAAACAGGAUUAGAUACCCCCGUAGUCCCUGAGCGGGCUGGCAAGGCGCAU
rnacentral:rRNA from 1 species